GGGAACGGCGCCCGGCCAGCCAAUGGUGAGGCGGGGGCGCGGUACAAAGCCGGAAGCGGCUCCCGCGCGAGAGAGCGGCGGCUGCUCCAGCAUCCAGAGCAAGGAAGGAGCCGGAGCGGUGUCGGGCCGCUCCCCGCGCUACACGAGGGGAAGGUACCGCGCGCUCCCCUCCCUUCCCCUCAUGCUACAGACCCUGGGAGCAGAGGGGAAACCUUCGCAGAGCGGGGCUCCUCCUGCCAGAGGGGGUCUGGGGGAUGCUCUCCCCAGGGACGGGGCCGCCCGUGGUGAUGGUACGGGGCGGUACCUGGGCAGAGGUUUCCAUGAUGCCUGAAAUCCCCCCCUGGGGAAACACACUAUGGCUUGUCAUCUAUAUACAGACUAACAUGGCUACCCUGUGAUACUUGACACCUAUUCUAAACUUUUUAUUUUAUUAUUAAAUUGCACAAGCUUUGAAGAACUAGCAUAUGGAAUUUUACUUAUAAUCUUUCUGGUUUUAUAUAUUGGUUCUUACCCAGGGUAUUGGCCAAGGUCAGAGCUCUGUGGGAAUCAGAACAUGUUUUAGGCAAGCACUUGAAUUCAAAAUGGAAGCUUCAUAUGCCUUAUGCUCAGGGUUUAGCUGAGGGCCGUAUUUGGGGGGUGGGUCAUCAGAGCUAGAUGCCUCAUUAUCUAUGGCCCCUGCGCCCUCUCCCCCAGCACUGCUACUCUCUACCAUGGUGGGGUGUGUGUGUGAUGACUAUUCCAGGAACAGUGGGGCCUGUUCUAAUGUAUGGUAGCUUUUUCAGGGGAUUGCAAUUAACAUUUGUUUUUGCCACUGCAUAGGUAUCCCUUUUAUUUAAGAAAAGUUGCUUCUUAUUGCUAAAUAAAACUCAGUGCAGCUUACAGUCACAAAAAAAGGGUGUAAAUAACAUUUUAAGUCUUAUAGGAUUUAAAGACAGAUGAUAAAGUGUUUGAUUAUAUCUUGCUGCUUACUUUGUAUAAGAAAGUGCUAGUG